UCUCUCUCUCCCUCUGUCUCUCUCUCCCUCUGUCUCUCUCUCCCGAGGGAGAGAGAGACAGAGGGAGAGAGAGACAGAGGGAGAGAGAGACAGAUUGUCUCUCUC
rnacentral:pre_miRNA from 1 species